CUUUAUAGGUGAAAAGGUCAGAAUAGAGGCAUGGGGGAGACCAAGAUUUCUCUGUGUAUAGUCUUCUGUAGUUUGAGGACUUUAAAUCAUGUAAAAUUUUAAAACAAACAAUAAAACUUACUGCUCAUUCCAUACCAAGGAUGGAAUAAUUUAGGUAUAAAGUUUACAAAAGCAUUUAUAGCUGAUAUUUCAUAAUCUAUUCUAAAAAAAGUGAAAAUCAUAAAGGUCCUCAAAAGCAUAGCUUUUUUCAUAAUCCUCCAUAAUUUUUUUUAAAAUUUUCAUCAGAAACACUAGAUUGGCAUUAAUGAAUUUUAGUUGUAUAGAAUUAUAUGAAUAAAGAAAUGCAAGAAUCAAACAUUUACCAAUUCUCAUCUUUUCAAGACAAUGCCACUCUAUUGAGACUCAAAUUUAAAGGUCAUUCUACAUUUCAGAUGUUUUUCAACAUUCUAAAAUAAUAACUAUUCUCAUUAAAGAGAAACAACUUAGGUUCCUAAUUUUUGGUUCAAUUCAAACAUGUCUUGAAAAUGGUACAUGGCAUUUUACUGAACAUUUCCAUUUUUAUUUAUCUACCAUUUCCCACAUUUAGGCUCUAUCUAUACAUCAUUGUCCCCAAACACCUCAAUUUCCCACCACUGUAAUAUAAAUGGUCAAAAACAACUACUUCUAGACCUAAAUAUGCCAUAAGCCUAGUGGCCUCACUUUUGUCCACAGCAUACCCAUUCCUUCUGCCAAAAGUAGUCUCCUCUACCA
rnacentral:lncRNA from 1 species